rnacentral:rRNA from 1 species
AAUCAUGGCUCAGGAUGAACGCUGGCGGCGUGCUUAACACAUGCAAGUCGAACGAAGCACUCUAUUUGAUUUUCUUCGGAAAUGAAGAUUUUGUGACUGAGUGGCGGACGGGUGAGUAACGCGUGGGUAACCUGCCUCAUACAGGGGGAUAACAGUUGGAAACGACUGCUAAUACCGCAUAAGCGCACAGGAUCGCAUGAUCCGGUGUGAAAAACUCCGGUGGUAUGGGAUGGACCCGCGU